GAGCCAGGGUCAACACUCCUACGGGAGGCAGCAGUGGGGAAUAUUGCACAAUGGGCGCAAGCCUGAUGCAGCCAUGCCGCGUGUGUGAAGAAGGCCUUAGGGUUGUAAAGCACUUUCAGCGAGGAGGAAGGGUAGUGUGUUAAUAGCACAUUGCAUUGACGUUACUCGCAGAAGAAGCACCGGCUAACUCCGUGCCAGCAGCCGCGGUAAUACGGAGGGUGCAAGCGUUAAUCGGAAUUACUGGGCGUAAAGCGCACGCAGGCGGUUUGUUAAGUCAGAUGUGAAAUCCCCGCGCUUAACGUGGGAACUGCAUUUGAAACUGGCAAGCUAGAGUCUUG
rnacentral:rRNA from 1 species